UACGUAGGGCGCAAGCGUUGUCCGGAAUUACUGGGCGUAAAGAGUGUGUAGGCGGUGCUCUAAGUUCGGUGUGAAAUCUCCUGGCUCAACUGGGAGGGUGCGCCGGAAACUGGGGUGCUGGAGCGCGGGAGAGGAAAGCGGAAUUCCUGGUGUAGCGGUGAAAUGCGUAGAUAUCAGGAGGAACACCGGCGGUGUAGACGGCUUUCUGGACCGUAGCUGACGCUGAGACACGAAAGCGUGGGUAGCAAACAGG
rnacentral:rRNA from 1 species